UUUAAGAAGAAGCUUGUAAACCAGGCCAAAUGAUAGGUUAAAUACUUAACCUUGAUUAGUUAAUGAGAUGAAUCAAUCUUUUUAUUUCUCUUUAAUUAACAGUUGCGGACAUAUUUUUAAUGGCAAAAAAAUUAUUUCACUUAUAAAAUAGACAAUACUUUAACGGUAACAAACCAGAGGGACAUAUUUGAAAAUAUUAGAAUUUUUGCAAAAAUAAUAUAUAAAAGUUGAACUUUAUAUGGAUAUAUUUAUAAUUUACUAUGUCUGCAGGGACCUGUAUAAAAUUAAUCCAAAUCUAACAGUCAAAAUAACUUUGUCCACUGAGGUGUUGUAUUUAGAGAAAGUUUGUUCACAAAGUUGAUACUUACCGUCGUAAUAUGAUGGCAAAGUUACAAGCCAAUGCGCCUCAAAAUUAUAAUAUACUUAACAGUAACAGCAUGAUGUUAAGGAGCUAGGCUGGUCUACUAUCGGUCGCACGGAGGCCUCCGUGCUACCAAGUUGUUUUCGAUGAUGCGGCUUCCAAAUCGACGAUCGGCUUCGUCAGACUUAAUCUACACUAUUAAAAGUAUUUGGAAACUAAAUUUUGUAAUUUUUCGGCAUCAUUUGGCUAGUGAUCAAAAUGUCUCAAAAUUGACAAUUUUAAUGGUAGAUGUGAUACAUUUGCAAAUUUAACGGUGUAAAACAGUCUAAAUCUGAUAAAAUUUUUAUAGAAAAUUCUUUUUACUAUUUAGAAUAAGAUCAGUAUCUCUGAUCUUAAAUCAAGUCUUUUAUCAUUAUUUUUUAUAAAAUUUUUUAUUUUCAGCCAUUCAUUUUUAGACUACUCGUUUGAUAGGUAAAUGAUGCCGAAAAAUUAGGAAAUUUAGUUUCCAUAUACUUUUAAUAGUGUUGAUCAAGUCUAACGGAGCCAAUCGUCAAUUUGGAAGCCACAUCAUUGAAAACAAUUUUGUCACGCCCCGGAUUACACGUUCCCCAGGCACGCCGACAAAUCUGUCGUAUACAAAGAAAUUUUUUCUGUAUACAAAAUAAUAGCUGUACCUGUAAAACAUACAAUACUACAAAUAGUAGUAUAGAGCUGCCAGAAGAACUAGUAACUAAAAACAAACUGAGUUUCAUAUA
rnacentral:lncRNA from 1 species